AAUUUCAUGAAUGUGCUUAUGGAGCUUUGUGUGCUCGCCCGCUGAUUGCACGGCCGGGUUUCCAACGGAGCACGGACCGGUAGCAGUCCACGGGCCGGAGAUUGGGGAGCCCUGCUCUAAGUGACAUCCAUACAGCUUCACCAUGCUGAGAAAUAUUUUACCAAUAGAGAUUUAAAAGCUGUGAACAUAUGAACAGGUAGCAACAACAAUUUCCAAAUCAUCCUGAGCUUCAGUCUUCCUGAUGCCAACUUCUCCUCCUUCACAGGUCACCUUCAUGGACAGAAUGUGGGGACUGAUGGAAUUAAUAAAUGAAGGUCAUCAAAGACAUGGAGACCUCCACUCACAAAGACUUGUUGCCUUCCCGGAAGACCUUUCAGCGAAAACUAUGUCAACUAAAGUCAAGGAUGGAGAACAUUUUUCACCCUCAGGUGACUCUACUACUUCUAAUGAUAAUAUUCCUAGGAUAGGCUGAUAAUCUAUCAUUCACAGUUAAAAGAACUCAACACUUUUCUUAAAUAUCUAUUUGCUAUUGAGGUCCAAUAACUCUUUCUGGAGUUCUACCUAACUGUUGAGAUACACUUAAUUAAUUAGUGGGGUAAAAUUAAAAAAGAGAGAUAAAUAAAUAAAAUUGUUAAUCUGUUAUUAUUUUCCACUAGAAGUUUUCUAAAAAAAAAAACAGCUCCAAAAGGAUCAAAUAAAUAUCUUCCUCUGAGCAAUUUUUACUCUUUUAAAUGCUACAGAGCCAAAAAUCCAUUUGUUUGUAAGCCUAGGAGUGCUGAUCACAUUUUAUUAGGAAACCCUGAAGGAAAACAAAACAGAAGCCUAAUCUGCUUACUUGAAAUAGUAAAUAAUGGAAGGGAUCCAAUAUAUUUCAGCAAAGAUUCUUCCCCUCAAAUGAGAGUUACUGAAAUUAACAUUAAAGCUGUAAUGUUAAUUCUUUUCCAUCCGUUUUUACACACAUGGGUUUUCAUAUUUUUGUCAUGUGUUAUUUUUCAAUCCCUGCUUUCAGAAAUUACUGGGGAUAGAAGAGGCUUCAAUUAGGUUAUUCUUUUGGCAGUUUCACUUUCUCAUAGAGACAAAUAGUCCCAUAAUCGUUAGCAAAAUGAAGUACUGAUUUUUAAAGGUGGGGCCCAUUGUUUAAUCCCCUAUCUCAGCAGAUUUCAGUGCAAAUUCAACAAAGAAAGAUAAAACUGACCUGAAA